AGCUCACGUGCAUGCAGGUCGAAAAUAGAGCCCAUGCGAUGUUCUUAUGCGUUACAGAUUUGAAUUUCCUGUAAAAUAAGAGAGGCGUGUUAUUCUUCAUGAAGUAGAAAAGAGAAAACGUCACAGCAGUCAUGGCUCCUGGCCCCUCGAGUGAUGGAGGAGGAGGUCGGUGAUGCC
rnacentral:lncRNA from 1 species